GACGAACGCUGGCGGCGUGCUUAACACAUGCAAGUCGAACGGAAAGACCCUGCUUUUGUGGGGUGCUCGAGUGGCGAACGGGUGAGUAACACGUGAGUAACCUGCCCUUUACUUUGGGAUAACUUCAUUAAACUGGGGCGAAUACCGGAUAUGAGCUCCUGCUGCAUGGUGGUGGUGGUAAAGUUUCGGCGUUUGGGGAUGGACUCGCGGCUUAUCAGCUUGUUGGUGGGGUAGUGGCUUACCAAGGCUUUGACGGGUAGCCGGCCUGAGAGGGUGACCGGCCCCAUUGGGACUGAGAUACGGGCAAGACUGCUACGGGAGGCAGCAGUGGGGAAUAUUGCACAAUGGGCGGAAGCCUGAUGCAGCAACGCCGCGUGCGGGAUGACGGCCUUCGGGUUGUAACCCGCUUUCGCCUGUGACGAAGCGUGAGUGACGGUAAUGGGUAAAGAAGCACCGGCUAACUACGUG
rnacentral:rRNA from 1 species